rnacentral:lncRNA from 1 species
GAAGAGGGGAAAGCAGCACAAUCUGAUGAGUUAGUAUUUACAAUACUAUUUUGAAUUUGAAUAAAUGCUGCAUAUAUUAACAAUGACCAACACAAUUCCCCUAACAAAAAAAGAUUGCAGUUUUUGAAACUGCAGUAAAAUUGCAGUAACUGCAGUCAACUGUGGUAUUUUGGACGCAGUAAUUGCAGAAUAACUGCAGUGGUCUAAGGCACCGCAUCUCAGUGCUAGAGGCGUCACUACAGACCCUGGUUUUAUUCCAGGCUGUAUCACAACCGGACGUUAUUUAGGAGUCCAAUUGUAAGAAUCAACGCUGGUAGAGAUGAGAAGCAGGUACAGGGAGCGAAAAUAUAAUUAUUAACAGACAUGGAACAGGACAGGACAGUGUCUGGACAAGAACACAUAACGAUAUUAACGCAGACACAGGGAACAAACGGGGAAGCAGACAGUUAUAGACCGGGCAAUCAACAAAGGGAAGGAGUCCAAGUGAGUCCAAUAUGUGUUGCUGCGCGUAAUGAUGGUGACAGGUGUGUGUAACGAAGGGCAGCCUCGAGCGCCAGAAGGGGAGAGCAGGAGCAGGCGUGACAGUACCCCCCCAUCUAGAGGCGCCACCCGGCGUCCCACCUGGGAGUGCCUGACGAGGCAUGGGCACAGGACAAGCCGGCUGGGGCGUAGAAGCCCGACGAACUGGCACAGGCGUGGGAGCCUGGUGAACCGGCUCAGGCGUGGGAGCCUGAUGGGCUAGCUGAAGCAUGACGUGGGGUGGGCGCCUGCCGAGCCCACCGAGGCAAGACGACCUCUCGAGCCAGCUAAGGCGUGGAAGCCGAACGAGCUAGCUGAGGCACCCCCGGUUCCCUCGGCUAUAGCACCCGGGCCCGACGUCACCAACCAAAACUCCCUGAUGAUUAUUUUAGUGGUGUGAAUUCUAUGUGUCGACGCUGGUAGAGACGAGAAGCAGGUACAGGGAGUGAACAUUUAAUUAUCAACGGACAUGGAACAGGACAGGACAGCGUCUGGACAAGAACACAUAACGACAUUAAUGCAGACACAGGGAACAAACGGGAAAGCAGACCGGGCAAUCAACAAAGGGAAGGAGUCCAAUGAGCGCUGCUGCGCAUAAUGAUGGUGACAGUUGGGUGAUGGUCAGAUUCACGUUUAUCGUCGAUGGAAUGAGCGUUACACCGAGGCCUGCACUCUGGAGC